UGGAGCAUGUGGUUUAAUUCGAAGCAACGCGCAGAACCUUACCAGCGUUUGACAUGUCCGGUUUGGUUUCCAGAGAUGGAUUCCUUCAGUUCGGCUGGCCGGAACACAGGUGCCGCAUGGCUGUCGUCAGCUCGUGUCGUGAGAUGUUGGGUUAAGUCCCGCAACGAGCGCAACCCUCAUCCCUAGUUGCCAUCAUUCAGUUGGGCACUCCAGGGAAACUGCCGGUGAUAAGCCGGAGGAAGGUGGGGAUGACGUCAAGUCCUCAUGGCCCUUACGCGCUGGGCUACACACGUGCUACAAUGGCGGUGACAGUGGGCAGCAAACUCGCGAGAGUGAGCUAAUCUCCAAAAGCCGUCUCAGUUCGGAUUGUUCUCUGCAACUCGAGAGCAUGAAGGCGGAAUCGCUAGUAAUCGCGGAUCAGGAUGCCG
rnacentral:rRNA from 1 species